AACGAACGCUGGCGGCAGGCCUAAAACAUGCAAGUCGAACGCCCUAGCAAUAGGGAGUGGCGCACGGGUGAGUAACACGUGGGAAUGUGCCUUUUGGUACGGAACAACUUUUGGAAACGAAAGCUAAUACCGUAUGGUCCCUUCGGGGUAAAGAUUUAUCGCCAAAAGAGGAGCCCGCGUCUGAUUAGCUAGUUGGCGGGGUAAUGGCCCACCAAGGCGACGAUCAGUAGCUGGUCUGAGAGGACGAUCAGCCACACUGGGACUGAGACACGGCCCAGACUCCUACGGGAGGCAGCAGUUAGGAAUAUUGGACAAUGGGCGCAAGCCUGAUCCAGCCAUGCCGCGUGAGUGAUGAAGGCCUUCGGGUUGUAAAGCUCUUUAGUCCACGAAUAUAAUGACUGUAGUGGAAGAAUAAGCCCCGGCUAACUUCGUGCCAGCCGCCGCGGUAAAAC
rnacentral:rRNA from 1 species